CUAAGAGAUAGCUCAGGCAGAGAUAUCUUUUUAUGUCAGGCUAUUUCAGUGUACUGUGAAUUGUUUUGUUUCAUAUCAUUUAGAGAGAGAGAGAGAGGGAGAGAGAGAGAGAGAGAGAGAGAGAGAAUGCCGUGUAUCUAUUUCUCUGGGAGAAGUUGACCAAUUCAGAAGCGGGGUACAGAUCGGGAGGAGGGGUGGCAAGGAAGGGACAGUCAAUUCACCCAACCCUACACACGCCAGCUAUACCGAACGGAAAAGCCACACUACAUUCCUGAGCGAGUGAAAAGAGCUCAGCCAGCAGGCUCUGGAGUCUUCUGCCACCAUCCCUGGAAGCCGCUUUCUCCCUCCGUUUUGUCCCCUUAGGAAAGGGUCUGAGCCACCCAGCGCGCCAGUCCGUGCCUUUCCCACCCAGUCACCUGCCCGGCGCCCUUGGGUCCCCCUGAGCUCCCAGCAGCAGCAAGGGGUGACCCACACCCACCCGCGCUAACAUCCGCCGUUUUGACGAGGUCCAGAACUUUCUGGGAACAGGUCCACUGACCCAUCAGCUUAGGCUUGGUCUUCCGUGAACUAGCCCGCGAGCCGCAUUUAUUCAUUGCUUUCUUCCGGGCAGGGCUGCGGGAACCUCUGCCCAGACCCUGGGAGAGUGGCCACGAGCCCGCCGCGGGCGCAGCAAAGACCCUGAGGGCCCGAAGAGUUGCUCGGGGUUCGAGGAAAAUGAAAUGACCCAACACUACAGUCCUGGUUGCUCGCCUGCGGGCCAGAUCUCUCCGCGCGGCCGGAGAUCGACCUGCCGGGCCCGGGACGCUGUCGGCGAUUUCGGACCCCGGGCAAGCUCGCAGAGCCAGUCCCGGGAUCCGCUCGCCCAGCCCUAGUCUUGGGGUGCAGACGGACCCGCCGCGGGGGGCGCAGCGUCCGGGAGAACCGGGCCGCUGGAGACGAAAGCGCGGGAGUGGCGGCGCUCCCGGCCCCGCGUCUUUUUCCUGGGGCCAAGCCACCCUGUCAUCGCCGGGACAUCGCGGGACUCCACGCAGCCGGCCGAGGGUUCAAGCCUUCGGCCGGCCUUCCCUGCGCCCCGCAGCGCGGUGGACUGGGGCGGCGAUUGGCGCUCUUCGUCUGAGCGAGGUCUGGGGUAGAGCGAGCGAGCGAGCGAGAGAGCCAGGCUCAUCCGGCUCCCGCCGAGCCCCAAGAGGCUCGCAGUUCCCUGACUGAACAGAAGGAAGGACAACGCAGAAGAAAGGACCCCAUCCCAGCUCUGCCCUGUGGGAGCUGGCUGACAGUCUCCGCAGCUGCUGUGACCUCCACUGGGCUCCUGUGCCUCGCAGCAUCCCCCUCUUCCACUGGAAGUUUGUCUUUCUGACUCUGUUCUGCCAUCCUCCCGCUUCUGCCUCCUCAGCUCUCUCACUAAACAUAGCCACAAAGAAACUGGCUGGAUGCAGGAGUGAAGGCCAAUAAAGAUGCUCAAGGUAGCUGUGGAGUCUUGAGUAACAAACCCUGUAUGAAACGUAGGGGAUUUUUUGUUGUUGUUUGUUUUUUUGUCUUUUUUUUUUUCUGCAUAGACAUCGAAAUAAAACCCUG
rnacentral:lncRNA from 1 species